GAUGAACGCUAGCGGGAGGCCUAACACAUGCAAGCCGAGCGGUAUUUGUUCUUCGGAACAGAGAGAGCGGCGCACGGGUGCGGAACACGUGUGCAACCUGCCUUUAUCUGGGGGAUAGCCUUUCGAAAGGAAGAUUAAUACCCCAUAAUAUAUUGAGUGGCAUCAUUUGAUAUUGAAAACUCCGGUGGAUAGAGAUGGGCAUGCGCAAGAUUAGAUAGUUGGUGAGGUAACGGCUCACCAAGUCAAUGAUCUUUAGGGGGCCUGAGAGGGUGAUCCCCCACACUGGUACCGAGACACUGACCAGACUCCUACGGGAGGCAGCAGUGAGGAAUAUUGGACAAUGGGUUAGCGCCUGAUCCAGCCAUCCCGCGUGAAGGACGACGGCCCUAUGGGUUGUAAACUUCUUUUGUAUAGGGAUAAACCUACUCUCGUGAGAGUAGCUGAAGGUACUAUACGAAUAAGCACCGGCUAACUCCGUG
rnacentral:rRNA from 1 species